CCUACGGGAGGCAGCAGUGGGGAAUAUUGCACAAUGGGCGAAAGCCUGAUGCAGCGACGCCGCGUGAGGGAUGACGGCCUUCGGGUUGUAAACCUCUUUCAGCAGGGAAGAAGCGAAAGUGACGGUACCUGCAGAAGAAGCGCCGGCUAACUACGUGCCAGCAGCCGCGGUAAUACGUAGGGCGCGAGCGUUGUCCGGAAUUAUUGGGCGUAAAGAGCUCGUAGGCGGCUUGUCACGUCGGGUGUGAAAGCCCGGGGCUUAACCCCGGGUCUGCAUUCGAUACGGGCUAGCUAGAGUGUGGUAGGGGAGAUCGGAAUUCCUGGUGUAGCGGUGAAAUGCGCAGAUAUCAGGAGGAACACCGGUGGCGAAGGCGGAUCUCUGGGCCAUUACUGACGCUGAGGAGCGAAAGCGUGGGGAGCGAACAGGAUUAGAUACCCUGGUAGUCCACGCCGUAAACGGUGGGAACUAGGUGUUGGCGACAUUCCACGUCGUCGGUGCCGCAGCUAACGCAUAGUUCCCGCCUGGGAGUACGGCCGCGAAGGCUAAACUCAAAGGAUUGACG
rnacentral:rRNA from 1 species